rnacentral:rRNA from 1 species
GAUGAACGCUAGCGGCAGGCCUAAUACAUGCAAGUCGAGGGGCAGCAGGAAUAGCAAUAUUUGCUGGCGACCGGCGCACGGGUGCGUAACACGUAUACAAUCUGCCUUCUACGGGGGGAUAGCCUUUCGAAAGAGAGAUUAAUACCCCAUAACACAAGAUAUAGCAUUAUAUUUUGUUGAGAGAUCCGUCGGUAGAAGAUGAGUAUGCGGGUGAUUAGCUAGUUGGUGAGGUAACGGCUCACCAAGGCAACGAUCACUAGGGGAUCUGAGAGGACUACCCCCCACACUGGUACUGAGACACGGACCAGACUCCUACGGGAGGCAGCAGUAAGGAAUAUUGGACAAUGGAGGCAACUCUGAUCCAGCCAUGCCGCGUGCAGGAUGAAGGCCCUAUGGGUCGUAAACUGCUUUUGUACGAGAGAAAACCUAUUUACGUGUGGAUAGUUGAUAGUAUCGUAAGAAUAGGGAUCGGCUAACUUCGUGCCAGCAGCCGCGGUAACAC